rnacentral:rRNA from 1 species
AUCAGGGACGAAUAGCUCAGUAAAACUGCGAUGAUUUAGUCUGGCUGUGUAGAUAACUACGUGAAAAUGUAGCUAAGGGAAGGCAGAAUAAGACGCAGGACUAUCAGUUAGUUGGUAGUGUAAUGGACUACCAAGACAGUGACGGUUGACGGGAAAUUAGGGUUUUGUACCGGAGAGGGAGCCUGAGAGAUUGCUCCCACGUCCAAGGACGGCAGCAGGCGCGAAAAUUGCCCACUCUUUGCAGGAGGCAGUUAUGAGACGUGAAGAUGAGUAUCUUGUAAAGAGGGAUAGGAGAAUUGGAGGGCAAGUUUGGUGCCAGCAGCCGCGGUAAUACCGACUCCAAGAGUGUGUAUGAGAGAUGCUGCAGUUAAAAAGUCCGUAGUCAUAGAAGGGCAAAGAGAGAUGCGAGGUCUCACAGUGCGAUGAUGGAGGAGCCGAUGGGGAACAUAGUAUACCAGGGCGAGAGAUGAAAUGCCAAGACCCCUGGUGGACUGAGCGAGGCGAAGGCGAUGUUCUUGUAGGCAUUCGGUGAUCAAGGACGAAGGCUGGAGUAUCGAAAGUGAUUAGAUACCGCAGUAGUUCCAGCAGUAAAAGAUGCCGACAUGCUCAUUGGACACAGUGGGCAGGGAGAAAUCUUAGAGUUCGGGCUCUGGGGAUAGUAUGCUCGCAAGGGUGAAAAUUAAAGAAAUUGACGGAGCUACACCACAAGGAGUGGAUUGUGCGGCUUAAUUUGACUCAACGCGAGGAAACUUACCAGGG